ACAAGCCAAAUCAGAUGAGAAGGCGGCGGUUGCAGGCAAGAAGCCUGUGGUAGGUAAGAAAGGAAAGAAGGCUGCUGUUGGUGUUAAGAAGCAGAAGAAGCCUCUGGUGGGAAAAAAGGCAGCAGCUACCAAGAAACCAGCCCCUGAAAAGAAGCCUGCAGAGAAGAAACCUACUACAGAGGAGAAGAAGCCUGCUGCAUAAACUCUUAAAUUUGAUUAUUCCAUAAAGGUCAAAUCAUUUUGGACAGCUUCUUUUGAAUAAAGACCUGAUUAUACAGGCAGUGAGAAACAUGACUUGGU
rnacentral:lncRNA from 1 species